ensembl:lncRNA uncharacterized LOC115164160
UGGAUGGUUGUCGCAGCCAUGUAUUUGUAUUGAAGGUAUGCUAUGUGCUGAGGUUCCCUUACUGUUGCAUAUCCCACAGUGUCUGCUGCUGGCCUUUCUGUGUUGAUGCUGUGUGGGGUUCUGGUCUCGGUGCGCUCUAACAUUUGUACUCUGGAGGGUAAGAUUUACAUCUGUCAAGAGAUCCCACAAAGUUACCCUGCUGGCCUGGCCUCUCUGGUGCUCUUUGUAAGUAAUGUUGGAGCAAUCAACCGUACUGUGUUCAGUAGUGACAACCUGGCCUCAAUCACCCGCCUCACCAUCAACAACGCUGGUAUCACCGACAUCGCAUCCAGAGCUCUCUGGUUCUUCCGCAGCCUCAAAACCCUCAGCCUGGACCUCAACAACAUCUCCCAGCUCAACCCAGCCUGGUUCAGCCAACCAGCCAUCCUCCAAAACCUCACCCUUAUUCAGAACCAUAUUGAGGUUGUAGAGGACUCCAUGCUUAGUGGGUUAACUGGUCUAAUUAGCCUAAACCUGACCAGGAAUAUGAUCAAGAGCAUUGCUCCUGGUAGUUUUAGCACCCAGACACAUCUGGCCAGUUUGGACCUGUCUGGUAAUAGGAUCGUAACCAUCAGUCCUGGUAAUGUAGCAUGAUGUACUACAUUACCCAUAAUGCACCAUGUAUGAUAUCCUGUUUUAUCUUAGUAAAGAAGUUCCUGAAGCUAACAAUGGUGUACUGUCUUAUCAAUACAGGUAGUUUCAGUGGACUCACUGGCCUAACUAGUCUAAACUUGGCCAGGAAUAGGAUCAAGACCAUCAGUCCUGGCUGUUUUAGCACCCUGACCAGUCUGGCCUACUUGGAUCUGUCUGAUAACAGGCUGACCAGGGUUAACCCCCAGGACCUGCUCCCACUCUCCCCCGCCACACAGAUCAGGCUGGAUGGCAACCCCUGGGACUGCUCCUGUGGAGUGGAGGACUUUGUCAUCUUCCUCAGAGGUCUGCAGAAUGCCUCUCUGCUGGAGAGGGAGAUGGAAGUGACGUGUGCCAGCCCUUCAGCCCUGAGAGGCCAGCCUGUGUGGAACGUGUCCAAGUGUUUGAUACCUAACCCACAGCCCCAAGAGAAUACCCACAUACAGCCCCCAGCCAUGUCCAUCACUGUCUCCACACUCAUAGCAGUGAUAGUGGUGCUGUGUAUCCUGAUAUGUGUGGUCUGUGCCCUGGCUGUAGUCUGGAAGCGAAAACGUGAGACCAAACAGGUGAAGCCCAGUCUGGAGACAAAAGAGGAGGAGGAAGCCGCAGAGCAGCCAGACAGUUCCACCCUCCACAGACAGGUGGCUUCAAUGUCUGACUGGGAUCCAGAGCUUGCUGCAAGGAUUUACAGAUCUGGAGUCAGAGCCAAGUCUGCUGAUGCUGUCCUCUCCACGUCCCAGUUCUGUAGAGCAGAGAGAGAAGCACACAGGGCGGUGGUGGACACUGAGAGAGAACUAUACAGGACGGAAAGUGUGAGAGAGCGCCCGUUAAAAGAGAUGAGGAACUCAGAGGAAGAGAAGAGCAAAGAGCCAGAAGAUAAUGAGUCCCAGGGGGUAGAUAGAAACCUGACAGGAAAAGAUGAUAUUAAGGGUGAAGUGAGUCAGGAAAAUGAGAGAGAUGAUGAUGGAACUGUGAAUCUACAAGAUGGCGGCCAAAACAUAAUCUGUGUAUCCCAGGAUUCAGAGACCAUACCGUACCUGACCAUCGGUGCUGACCCGGCCGAACCAAACCUUGAACGCCACAAAGGUCCAAGUCCACAGAAAGUCAUGACAAGGAUUUCCACUUGGCCCCCCACCUCAGCUCAGUGGCAGACCCACAUCGCCAUACAGAGAGAGGGGCUCUGUGUCUUCCCUGAGAAUGACCCUGGCCAAGAGGUCGAAGGUGGAACAGAGAACCAAUCACCUGACCAAGAGGUCAAACAGAUCCAGUCACCUGACCCUGGUGAAACCAAGAACCAAUCACCUGACCAUGAGCAAGAGUUUAAAGAUGAGACAGAUAAACGUUCAGCUGAUGUUUCUGUCAGUGUUCUGGAGUCUUCACCCCCAGAAGGGGACAUGGGUGAGGAGAACUGCAGUACGUCUCCAGAGUAUGAUCCAGUCUCACUGGAUGAUACUGAACCAGAACCUCUCAUUGAGACAAGCGAGACCCUGCCAGACCUGGUCGACACUUCCCUGUCUAGUAAUGUCCUGACCCAGACUGAGACCAAUCCUGGUCAAGAAAAUCCUGAAGAAUUGGAUAACAAACCCACACAAAUUAUAAACAGGGCUGUACAGAGUGAAGGCAAAUCGAACAGAAAUGGGCUGCCAAAGAGAGCACAGAGAGCAGGCAGGAGCAGAGAGAGUACAGCGCAUAGUGGAGCUCCCCCUAGUGGUGUCUCCCCCAGUGACGACAACCUGCUACUGGAUAAUGAAUACGCCUAUAUUGACUUGCUGCACGAGGUGGUUCAGAACCAGGGCCGAUGGACCAGAGAGAGGUGGAAACAGACUCACCUCAACAAAGCAGCAAGCAAGAGAAGCAAGCACCAGGGACAUUAAACUACAGACUGUGGCUUUUAUCGUUCAAUAUAGUCUUUUUUAUAUGAUCUGGUGUUGUUUUAUGUUUUUACUUGUCCUGUCUAUUGGUGUAUGUAGUGUUUUGAAAAGUGC